rnacentral:rRNA from 1 species
UGGGGUAUAUUGCACAAUGGGCGCAAGCCUGAUGCAGCCAUGCCGCGUGUGUGAAGAAGGCCUUCGGGUUGUAAAGCACUUUCAGCGGGGAGGAAGGCGGUGAGGUUAAUAACCUCAUCGAUUGACGUUACCCGCAGAAGAAGCACCGGCUAACUCCGUGCCAGCAGCCGCGGUAAUACGGAGGGUGCAAGCGUUAAUCGGAAUUACUGGGCGUAAAGCGCACGCAGGCGGUCUGUCAAGUCGGAUGUGAAAUCCCCGGGCUCAACCUGGGAACUGCAUUCGAAACUGGCAGGCUAGAGUCUUGUAGAGGGGGGUAGAAUUCCAGGUGUAGCGGUGAAAUGCGUAGAGAUCUGGAGGAAUACCGGUGGCGAAGGCGGCCCCCUGGACAAAGACUGACGCUCAGGUGCGAAAGCGUGGGGAGCAAACAGG